AUUGAACGCUGGCGGCAUGCUUUACACAUGCAAGUCGAACGGUAACAGGCCUUCGGGUGCUGACGAGUGGCGAACGGGGGAGUAAUGCAUCGGAACGUACCCAGAGGUGGGGGAUAACGCAGCGAAAGCUGUGCUAAUACCGCAUGUGAUCUGAGGAUGAAAGCGGGGGACCGAGCAGCAAUGUUUGGCCUCGCGCCUUUGGAGCGGCCGAUGUCGGAUUAGCUAGUUGGUGGGGUAAAGACCUACCAAGGCGACGAUCCGUAGCUGGUCUGAGAGGACGACCCGCCACACUGGGACUGAGACACGGCCCAGACUCCUACGGGAGGCAGCAGUGGGGAAUUUUGGACAAUGGGCGCAAGCCUGAUCCAGCAAUGCCGCGUGCGGGAAGAAGGCCUUCGGGUUGUAAACCGCUUUUGGCAGGAACGAAACGGUGUCCGCUAAUACCGGGCGCUAAUGACGGUACCUGCAGAAUAAGCACCGGCUAACUACGUG
rnacentral:rRNA from 1 species